UAAAUUUUAACCGAAGUAGGAGUUGUUCUCACUUUCAAUGUCGCCGUAUUCUAAUGGUCUUGUGGUUGGUUGAGAGAAAACACAAGAAGAUGGAGGAGGCGGAUGAUCAGCCGCCGUAGGUUGCGGCGGAGUUGACGGUGUUUGUGGUUGCGGUGCAAUGACGGAGACGCCGCUAGAGUUAUGAAAACCGGCGACUUGGGAGUUGGAAGGUACGAUCAAAGCGGCGACAGCUUCUCGUUGGUUGAACUUGAGAAUCUCGGAUCGUACGGACGUGAGCUCAGCAUGUAAAGCUUGAAUUUGGUGUUGUAGAGCAGAGAUGGCUCCCAUGCAUCCGUAUACUGGAUCUCUAAGCCUCACGUUUGCUUCAUACACGAGACUAUUAGCCGCGUCUGCUCUCUGGCUUUCUGGUACUUCCUGGUUUGGUUAAAAUUGUUUCAUAUUAUGAGAAUAUUGCCUAACAAUAUUAAUGUUUUCAAUGGAAUAAAGAUUUAAUAUAUAUCCUCCAUUUCAUGACAAUAGAUUUUUGAAACUAUUGUCCAAUUAAAAAAAUGGAAGUUUUGUAUGUUGAAUACAAUUUAGUUUUUAUUUUAUUUUUUACUCUUAAUUAAGACAACUACAAAUAAAAUAAACUGAAUUCUUUUGAACUAUGGUAUUAGAAUAUAAUUAUUUUUUGCUCUGUAAAUUUAUUUUAAAGUGCAUGAAAAGUCCAAAACUUCUAUCUUCAUGAAACAGUGUAAGUAAUAAACAGACUAAUCUAUGUUUUGGGAUGACCAAGGAGAAAAUGAAUUUAGUAGAAAUCAAUCAUUGGCAUAGAUCAACCGAGCGAUGAUCACUAUAUUACUAUAAAAAUAUAUUUGUGUUUAAUCUGCAUGCUUAAUUCAUGAUGAUAUUUGUGCUUUGAAAUGGUUACCAUUAGCAUCUUGGAGACGUUGCUAGCUCCAAAGACUUUGUGGACAGAUGCGAACCUAUGAGGCUCAUGUGGGGAGAAGUACGGCGAAAAUGGACAUUCUUGAGCGCAUCUACGGCGCAAAAGCUUGCAAGCUGCACAAGGAGUAAUGGUGUUGAGAGUCCCAUGAGGACCCGACAUUGGUCUUCUGAUUCCUGCCAUCUGAUGAGGCCAAGCAUCUGCGUCUAUUUUGAUGUUUUUCCCUAUCUCUUCAAAUCUCUCCCUGAACACAAGGAACCGAGGAAGAACUUUAAUUUUCAGGAAAAACAUGAACAUAGGAUUAGAACUAUAAAAGGUAGAAAACAACAAUAUCCACCAAUUUGAGGGAAUAAAUCUUAAUAAUUUAAAGAGAGAUGUUCACUUUUUACCUUUCUCUUGACAUUCAGGCAUGCUCUCAGAGGAUCGAAAGAAAAGAGAGAAAAGUAGAAAGAAACAAAAAGAGAAGUAUUAAAGUCAAGUCUCUUAACGAGGGUGUGAAGGAAGAUAGCCGAGGAAGGCUUUAAAGGCAAGUAAAAUACCAAGUUUAAGAUUUCGUGAUCACGAUGUAUAUAUAUUCUACGAGGGUAUAUAUGUGUUAGCAAUAUAUAGCUAGAUAUAUAAGAAAAAAUUGAGCUUGUAAAUAGAACUUUCUGAUGGAGAUGAAAAGGGUUUGGUAGCUCGAGUGUUUCUCUUAAGAUGAAAACGACUGGAGAUAUGUAGUUAGUGAAGACUGAAGAGCUAUAUUUACAGCUUAAGCACGUGAACCGUGAGGACCGGUUUUAGUUUUGUUUUUGAUUUUACAAACCUGAUAUCAGAGAUACAUGAUCAGCCGCCGUAGGUUGCGGCGGAGUUGACGGUGUUUGUGGUUGCGGUGCAAUGACGGAGACGCCGCUAGAGUUAUGAAAACCGGCGACUUGGGAGUUGGAAGGUACGAUCAAAGCGGCGACAGCUUCUCGUUGGUUGAACUUGAGAAUCUCGGAUCGUACGGACGUGAGCUCAGCAUGUAAAGCUUGAAUUUGGUGUUGUAGAGCAGAGAUGGCUCCCAUGCAUCCG
rnacentral:lncRNA from 1 species